CUGCAAACUUGUCGCUUUUUGGCGACAAUCGCCGUUUUCUUGGUCAAUUUGGUCAUUCACGUGGAUCGUGUAGAACCGGAGAGUUUUCUUUUGGGGGGGGGGGGGUCCAGAAUUGCGAACAAUUAUUGGAUCAUUCUUGUAAUUGACAUUUCUCUGGGCCAAUCGGAAUCUCAGCACUUGCUUCAGAAUCUUUCUUAUAAUUUGACAUUUCUCUGAGCCAAUCGGAAUCUUGAAGCACACAGCGCCAACUGAGCUCGCCAUUGGAUGAGACGGUCGCCUGGCUACCGCGCAAAUCAGAUGGAACGAUUUAUAUUUUUUGAAGGAACUAUCAUCGAGAAUGAGGGAGCUUAAUGAGGAGGACUCAUUAUAUGUAGCACAGCUAGACUCAGCAGGGAGGUGCAAGUGGAGCUGGGCAUGGCUCAAAGUGGAAGUGAAGCAGGAAGUGCAGGGAGUUGCGCAUACACUGCCACUUUCUUUGUACUUCAAAAAAGUAGAUAAGGCAGGACAUGCCAAAUGUACCUUAUGUACAAAAGAAAUCAACUAUGCCAAGAAGGGGGUGCAUGCCCUAACAUCCCACUGUGACACAGCCAAACACAGAGGAAAAGUGUUUACCAUUUUGACAACCAGGAGUAUUCGUAGUCCCCCUGAAAAUGCCAUUCCUGAGACCCAGGGACCAGAAGCAAUGAGAGAGAGGGAAAUUGCCUGUGUCCACGUUUCAGCGUGUUGCAAAUGCAGAGGCAAUGGUUCUGGGCACUUUGGCGGAGCACUCACUGCCAUUCACAAUGGCCCCUGUCAUCGUCAACCUUGCUCGGAUGCUGGCCGAGGACAAAGUGGCUCUAAGUCGCAUGAAGCUGUCGCGAACAUCAGCGCAAUAUAAAAUGGUUCACGGCCUGGGGAAGACAUUCUCCGACCGCAUCCUCAGCAACACUGAUU
ensembl:lncRNA